UUUUAUGGAGAGUUUGAUCCUGGCUCAGGAUGAACGCUGGCGGCGUGCCUAAUACAUGCAAGUCGAGCGAACAGACGAGGAGCUUGCUCCUCUGACGUUAGCGGCGGACGGGUGAGUAACACGUGGAUAACCUACCUAUAAGACUGGGAUAACUUCGGGAAACCGGAGCUAAUACCGGAUAAUAUAUUGAACCGCAUGGUUCAAUAGUGAAAGACGGUUUUGCUGUCACUUAUAGAUGGAUCCGCGCCGCAUUAGCUAGUUGGUAAGGUAACGGCUUACCAAGGCAACGAUGCGUAGCCGACCUGAGAGGGUGAUCGGCCACACUGGAACUGAGACACGGUCCAGACUCCUACGGGAGGCAGCAGUAGGGAAUCUUCCGCAAUGGGCGAAAGCCUGACGGAGCAACGCCGCGUGAGUGAUGAAGGUCUUCGGAUCGUAAAAAUCUGUUAUUAGGGAAGAACACAUGUGUAA
rnacentral:rRNA from 1 species